GGCGUGAUGGGAUGGAUCAGGAAAUGACCUCAGUGGGUGAGGAAGUGACUUCAGAGUCUGUGGUCCUUUGCUGACUCACAGUCAGGUGAUUGACAGUCAGGUGACUACUGGUGUCAGGCAGGUUAGUUAUGGUAAGGCUAUAAGCUGUAUU